ACUCGUGCCGGCUUCAUAUUGCAACGCGCUCGUAUGCGGCCUCCAUGCGCCCUCUGCCGAUCGAAGGAGCAAAAGCAAAUAUGUGUCUGAGUUGCCCUUCUCUGCACAUCUUCACCUGCUACCGAGGCCACGUUCACCCUCGUUACUAUACCCUCGUAUACACAGAGAGGUAGCCAUUAGCGAGAAACAAGCGACGGAUUUUCUUUUUUCUCGCGGGAGUGACAGUUCGGCAGCAGUGAGCGGAUGAGUAGAGAAAGGUUUGCCGUCGCCAUGGCGACCAGCGCGCAGCGAACUAUCGGCGAUUCGGCCAGGCACGCGAGGUGCUGCCGCUCAGCUAUCGUAAUCUCGCGAGGCGCCCGCGAGGUGCGCUCGCAACGACGUGUGGCAGCGGCUUGAGGGGAAAAAAGCAGCCCAGCAGAUAAGCCCGCGGCGGCAAAAGUGGCCGAGAAAAACAUCGCGCAGAGCACAAAACAAACCACCGCCAUGGGGGCCGCGAGCGCUAUCUGCGACGCGUCGGGCCGUUUCGACGACGAGGCACGCUUUGACAACGUGCCAGCGGCGACGACGCUUCGCUUGUUAGAAAAGACUCGGCGUCGUCUCGCGCAGCUGCCCGCCAAACGGCUGUCUAUGGCGUCGUCGUCUUCCCCCCCGGAGCGCUACGGGCGUCGCGCAGCGCAGCACGCCGUCGCGAGGCCUUGAACGCGUCGCUUCGCCCUGCGCGAUCGGCUUCCGGCCACCCAGGGGCGAGGCGCGCACCCGGGUUCUGUAGGCUGGCACUCAGCGAGCAAGCAGCCCGUCUGCCCCAGCGUCCUCUCGAGAAUGCGCGGCGCAAAAUAACGCUCCCGGCGCGCCAGCAAUCGUCGGUCGUCGGCGCGUCGGUGACCGCUGAAAACGAGGCCAAUGGCGCCAGCGCGGUAAGCACCGCGACAGCUGCGUUUUCGCGCAAUCUAUCGAAGCACGAUAACGGCACGCGCGCGCGCGCUCGGAUACGGCAAAUUGCCGGCGCUCGUCGCAAGCCGGGUGCCAGCCCGGCCGCAACGUUUGCGACGCAGUCACGGGCGCCGGUGGUGAAUUUGCUGCGACUGUUGCGCGACCCUGACGGAGACAGAGGUGCUCUCGUCGUCCUUAUUAAACAAUUCGGUAUAAAGAAAGAAAGAAGUUUAUUUACGUAUUCUUGUUGCACGCAGAGCGCGUUUCGCCAGCAUAAUAGUAAAGGCCACUCGCGAUUUCUUCGGCUCACGUCGCGAACUGCCGGCAGUUGCGUGUAUAUAAGCAUGAACAGGUAGCCUUUUUCGGCGACGCACGAGACGGUGUUGUCGCGACGAUCACGCAGCUACUUCGAGAGGCUUGCCGCUUUCUUGCUUUUCCUUUAGCUCCGUCUGGCCUUGCCUUGUUACGGCAUUGCGUGCCGCCCGCAUUGCAUGAUCCAGGGUCGCAUCGACCAGGUGAAUCAGGUUCUCGAAUUGGACAGCAAGGGACAAGGUGCCGCCCGGUACAAUGCGCUGGACAAGUGGACGGCUCAACUUGGUACAUUGCAUCAGACCAUCGUGAACAAGAUCAUGGCGUCGCAUAUGGCUGGCCUAGACCUCUGCCUUUCAAGCUGCGCGAGUCCUUGAGUGCAGCGACCACAUUGUCCACCUAUGAAUGCCUUCUCUUCAUGGCGUCCACUUGAGGUGCAACUUCUAAAUCCUAUCAUCGCCGGCUCUGUGGCAGUGGCAUUGUGUCAGGCUGGCACCUCGAUCCUUCCUGGACUUGGGUCUAGCAACACUUGGGUACAGCCAACACAGACUUAUAAAUUGUCCAUCUGUU